CUGAACCUGAAAGAUGAGUAGCGGGCGCUUUCCCAGCGGCCAGGCGCAGCCUUGGCCUUUCCUUUGACUUUAGCACGUUGAUAACAAGCAGAGCGUGCUCAAGGCUGGAGAGGUGAAUUUAUUAUGAAGAAUGAAGGUCAGAUUCCUCUUACGGCUGCUUUGUGCUGUUGAAAAAUACAGUGUGCCUUCUGCUUCAAGAGCACCUAAUUUUGAAAUCCAUCUUGCUGAAGCAAUUGCUAUUAGAGGUGACCCGCAAGAGAGACGAGCCUUCCCUUUUGCCGCUCUGUGAUGGAAUAAAAGACUCGAGCGAUAAAUUAGCUUAGUCUACCUGUUUGCCACAUCAGAAGCUCAAGCCUUCCCUGCAGCAGGAGUGCUCGAGAUCAAGCUAAGCAGCAAGAGGCAGAGCAGCACGGAGCAAGGAGGACAGACAGGCAAAUGUGGGGUUUUGUAACUACACCUUUUUAAAUUUUACUUCUAUUGUUAAAACGUGUUUGACUUAAAUGGCGGUCAUUUGGCACAGAGGAAGUUUAUCCACGUGCUUCCAGCAGCCUUUCACCUAUUAAGGCAGCAAAAGCUCAAUUCAUGUAUUUCUGACCUCCCAAAAGUUCCUCAGUAAAAACAGGAAAGACCAAGCACUGCAGCUUGAAUGCCUGGAAAGGACCCAUCUCCCUGCACAUCUUACAGCAGCAAGAGGUCACCAUUUAAAUGCUUUUUCCAAGAAGCCAUUCAAAAAAUCAGGCUUUUGGAGGGGAAACCGAGGACGUGUGCUGCUGUGUUUGGCGGGGGCAUUUGUUACCAAGAAUAAAACCAGUUUUGAACAAA